rnacentral:lncRNA from 1 species
UGCCCAGAGAGGUUGUGGAGUCUCCUUCUCUGGAAGCAUUCAAGACCCGCCUGGAUGCCUACCUGUGCAACCUGCUGUAAGGAACUGCGUUAGCAGGGAGGUGGACUGGAUGAUCUCCAGAGGUCUCUUUCAACCCCUACAAUUCUGUCAUUCUUCUGUGAAGGUGCAAUCUAAUAGAAAUUAAUACUGAUUUAACAGAAAAACAGACCUCCACCACAAACCUGGAAUGUGUUUUUUGUGUGCGUGUGUGCCAGGCCAUUCCUUGCUUUUUUUCUUUCCCCAAGUAAGGCAAAUAGAAAUAAGGAAAAUGUGAAUUGAUAGUGUCCAUUCAAUCCACUGGACCAGCACCAGAGACUUCAGAUUGAUGCAAGCUCCGCCAUCAGCAGAUAGGGAAUAGCAUCUCAUCCACAUGGAAACUCAUGGUAUUUUUAGAUACUGACUGUCAGCUUAAGAUCUGAAGAACGGUGCUAAAAAUCUUUAUGUUGUUGUGUUCUCAUCGUUGUUUCCUUUCCAUUUCCAGCAAUUUUUGUGUCAUUUGCAAAGUUACCAGCAAAGAUGUUGUUUCCUUCCAGAUCACUGAUAAAGACAUCGGAUGGCAAUGGGUCCUUUGAAGCCGUUAAUAACCCAUUAGAAGAGAGUAGAAACAUGCUGAUAUAGCUGCUAAUUGGUUCUGAGAGCAUGUGAUGCAGGUGACAACAAAAUUUGAGAGAAAAUUCCUGCAUUACCUCAUCACACACUUUCUACGGCAUGGGAUUUAGUUGUCAUGCCUUGGAGCACCUGCUAAGAGGAAGGACAAUUUCCAGCGCUGGUUUAAAACAUCAGGGAGCACAAUGCCUUUCCUCAAACAUCCUGAGGAGUGGGAGUCUCUCACCGGAAUUCUGGCACUGCUUCACAGAGAAAUGAAGCAUUCUUCAAAAGCAGACCUGUCAGAAGGCAGCCUGAAUAACUCCAGGCUCUCCCACAGUACCAGAAACAUGUGCUGAGUCAUCUUGCCAAAUUGCAUGGUAACCACUUUCCCAGAGCUCUGAAACCCGUAGCUCCCGGACAUCCUCAU